rnacentral:sRNA from 1 species
AAAUGAAAACAUAGUAUACAGAUAAAUCAAUGACUCAAAAUAACAAGCAUCAUUAUAUAAGAACACCUUAUAGAAUAAACAUAGCAUGUUAUCUAUAUAAAACACAUGAACCAGCUAUAAAUAACAUGCAUAAUAUGAACAAACCUCUUCUUCUUUUUUUUAACCCCUAAACGGACAAAAAAGAAUCCACAAAAUUUGAGGAAAUUUCCAGAUCUCGCCUUAUCUAACUUCAUGUAGAGAGAUUAAGAAAAAAUUGAGGGUUAGUAAAGAAUAAAUCAAAAAGAACCAAAACUUAGAUCUGGACACAAUCGGUAAGAACUCUAUGCGGGAUACUUAUGUAAGUAUACAUGGGAAGAAAUAGAAGAAGACAGAGAUAAAUAAUCGGAAACCCAGGAUUGAACUUACCAGAUUCAUUGGCGAAUACCAAAUUGGAUAGGAGGAGAACGAAUUAAAACUUCUCUCGCAAACGGCAAAAGAAGGAAAAAAAAGAUUAGCAGCUAUAUAAAACACAUACAAAAAACUAUAAAACAAAUGCAAACAAAUGAAAUAACGGAGUACUUAAUGGCAGACCAAAAGGUAUAAAAGCAUGACCCUACCAAAAAAAAGGUAUAAAAGCAUGAAAUUUAAAAUGAAAACAUAGUAUAGAGAGAAAUAAAUGAGUCAAAAUAACAAGCAUCAUUAUACAAGAACACAUUAUAGAGUAGACAUAACAUGUUAUCUAUAUAAAAUAUAUGAACCAACUAUAAAUAACAUGCAAAAUUUGAACAAACCUCUU